rnacentral:lncRNA from 1 species
CCAGAGACCCCCAAGGACGAGAUAUACUUCAUUAUACACAUAUUUUCGAGCUCUUGGAGAGAGCUAGAGUUCCAGAGAGACGAUUGAAGCGAGAGGAUCAACCACAACUGGCGAAGGGCAAAUCAUCAAGUCGAAGAUUGGGAUUUCCACGAAGAACAUGUCGUCUUCUCCGGUUUUUCUUCUCUUCUCUUGUGAUUUAUUUUCCGGAACCAUGAGUAGCUAAACUUUCUGUGUUGUUCGGAUGAGAUGAAGCUUUAGCUAAGCUUU